rnacentral:rRNA from 1 species
UCCUACGGGAGGCAGCAGUGGGGAAUAUUGCACAAUGGGCGAAAGCCUGAUGCAGCAACGCCGCGUGAGUGAUGAAGGCCUUCGGGUCGUAAAACUCUGUCCUCAAGGAAGAUAAUGACGGUACUUGAGGAGGAAGCCCCGGCUAACUACGUGCCAGCAGCCGCGGUAAUACGUAGGGGGCUAGCGUUAUCCGGAUUUACUGGGCGUAAAGGGUGCGUAGGCGGUCUUUCAAGGCAGGAGUGAAAGGCUACGGCUCAACCGUAGUAAGCGCUUGAAACUGGGAGACUUGAGUGCAGGAGAGGAGAGUGGAAUUCCUAGUGUAGCGGUGAAAUGCGUAGAUAUUAGGAGGAACACCAGUUGCGAAGGCGGCUCUCUGGACGGUAACUGACGCUGAGGCACGAAAGCGUGGGGAGCAAACAGGA